GGGAACUACGAGCCAUGCUUAAAACCCAAAGGACUUGACGGUGUCCCAUCCCCCUAGAGGAGCCUGUUCUAUGAUCGAUAAUCCCCGCUAUACCUAAUCCCUCCUUGCUAUAUCAGCCUGUAUACCUCCGUCGAAAGCCUACCAUAUGAACGCACAUAGUAGGCUUAAUAAUUAUUUACAUUAACACGUCAGGUCAAGGUGCAGCUUACGGAGUGGCAAGCAAUGGGCUACAGUUUCUAAUAUAGAACAAACGGAAGGCUAUGUGAAACCACAGCCAUGAAGGCGGAUUUAGUAGUAAAAAGAAAAUAGAGUGUUCUUUUUAACUCGGCUCUGGGACGCGUACACACCGCCCGUCACCCUCUUCAAUGAUUUUAAUUUAGAUUUAUAACCUCAUACUCAUAUUCUAGAAGAGGCAAGUCGUAACAUGGUAAGUGUACUGGAAAGUGCGCUUGGCUAACAAAAUGUAGCUUAACUAAAGCCUCCCGCUUACACCGGAAAAAUAUCUGUUCAAUUCAGAUCAUUUGGAGCCCAAAAUCUAGCCCACCUAUCCCCUAUGAUAUCUUCCCCCCCCCCUUUUUUUUAAACAAAACAUUUUAACAGCUUAGUAUAGGCGAUUGAAAAAUUUCUUGGCGCUUUAGAGAAAGUACCGCAAGGGAAUGAUGAAAUAGUAAUGAAAUAACCUAAAGC
rnacentral:rRNA from 1 species